AUUUGUAUUUUAUCCUCGUAAUUAUUAUUCUUAUAAGCUGAGAACAAUAGUACAGGGUUCUGCCCAGGAAUUUUGAGAGGUGGUUAAAAAUGAUGGGGGAAAAUUCGCCCACGCAGGGGGUGUGUACGGGAAGGGAGACACAAAUUUGAACAUGCAUGCGUUGUAAGCCAUGUAAGUAUACAACUGAAAUAAUUAUAUAUUGUUGUACUUGCAUCAGUACAGUAUGGUGCUAUACUAAAAUUUCUUCAUCACAGGGUCAUAAUCAGUACUUGGAAGUGUUAACUGCACCCAGUUGCUCACUCUCUAGCUAGUCUUUUCCUUAGCAGGUGGUCCAACUCCCUGUUUUAAGGCAGAGUAUAGCUAGCUAGCUAGCUAGCUGCAGUACUCCUUGAACUCAACAAAGCCAUGCUGCAGCUUCAAUUAAUUGUUCUGGUCAUGCGCAGUAGAGUUCAAUUCAUAGUUAGCUCUAUAUAAGGCACAUCAAGACAGUAAAACUGGAUGGAGACACACGUACACCGGAACAAGUUCCACUUCCAUGCACAACUAUGAUCCAGAUGGCUGGCCACCAGUAAUAUUCUAGAGAGGAUUGACAAAACUACACUUAUAAAAAAUCUCAACUGUACCUACAAAGAAAGCUCUGCUGGUGCUCCUUGAACACGUUCUAUGCAUUCAACAUGGAAUAUACUGAAGAGUGCUCCAAUUUCCAAGAACAGGCUCCUGGCAGCAGUAGGUGUCUAACUAACUAUAAACUCAAGCAACUAAACUCACACCUGUAGAUAAUUAUGUACCAUGUGCUCUUGUUCCUGCAAUUAUUGUUUAUGAUGUCAUCUAGUAAUUAUUAUAUGCCUGGCUGGGCCCAGGCAAUCAAUAUGGAUUGGUGAUCACUUCACUAUUUUUUCUCUUGCA